rnacentral:lncRNA from 1 species
GAGAAAAUGAGAGAGAUGAUGAUUCUGAGGCCACCCUAUCCCAACCAUAUUAUUCACAUAUCGAGUCCCAACAGCAACAGUGUAGGGAUGAGCACGACAGUGCAGGUGAGCAUGAAGGAUGGACAAGCUUCAGGGAUUUUAGAUUGGGAACACAACAAAACACUAACACUCAGGGAUUUGGGAAUAGUCAGACGCCUGCUAAUAUCGAUGAUUCGUUUUUAGAUCGAAUCAAUGAAUUGUUAAACGAAUUCAAUCAAUGGCACCAGCGUAACCAAGAAGAACAAUAACGUCGUCUAUCAUUUUAUUUUUAGAUCAUAUGUUACUAAUUUUAUGCUUUAUUGUAGUCCAUGUAUGUUGAUAUACUUAU